GCACAAGCGGUGGAUGAUGUGGAUUAAUUCGAUGCAACGCGAAAAACCUUUACCUGGCCUUGACAUCCCGGGAAUUUCCUGGAAACAGGAGAGUGCUUUCAUUAGAGAGAACCUGGAGACAGGUGCUGCAUGGCUGUCGUCAGCUCGUGUCGUGAGAUGUUGGGUUAAGUCCCGCAACGAGCGCAACCCUUGCCUUUAGUUGCCAGCAGUUCGGCUGGGCACUCUAAAGGGACUGCCGGUGUCAAACCGGAGGAAGGUGGGGAUGACGUCAAGUCCUCAUGGCCCUUAUGGCCAGGGCUUCACACGUAAUACAAUGGUCGGUACAGAGGGUUGCCAAGCCGCGAGGUGGAGCCAAUCCCAGAAAGCCGAUCGUAGUCCGGAUUGCAGUCUGCAACUCGACUGCGUGAAGUCGGAAUCGCUAGUAAUCGCGGAUCAGCAUGUCGCGGUGAAUACGUUCCCGGGUCUU
rnacentral:rRNA from 1 species